rnacentral:rRNA from 1 species
UACGUAGGUGGCAAGCGUUGUCCGGAAUUAUUGGGCGUAAAGCGCGCGCAGGUGGUUUCUUAAGUCUGAUGUGAAAGCCCACGGCUCAACCGUGGAGGGUCAUUGGAAACUGGGGAACUUGAGUGCAGGAGAGAAGAGUGGAAUUCCACGUGUAGCAGUGAAAUGCGUAGAGAUGUGGAGGAACACCGAUGGCGAAGGCAGCCUCCUGGGCCAGCACUGACGCUCAUGCACGAAAGCGUGGGGAGCAAACAGG